CAGCCGCCGCGGGAAAACGAAGGGUGCAAGCGUUACUCGGAAUUACUGGGCGUAAAGCGUGCGUAGGUGGUGGUUUAAGUCCGUUGUGAAAGCCCUGGGCUCAACCUGGGAAUUGCAGUGGAUACUGGGUCACUAGAGUGUGGUAGAGGAUAGUGGAAUUUCCGGUGUAGCAGUGAAAUGCGUAGAGAUCGGAAGGAACAUCUGUGGCGAAGGCGACUAUCUGGGCCAACACUGACACUGAGGCACGAAAGCGUGGGGAGCAAACAGGAUUAGAUACCCGCGUAGUCCCUGUCUCUUAUAA
rnacentral:rRNA from 1 species